AGUGUGGAGUGAGGGAGAUCAGGUAGUAUAAAAAUGAGAAGCCUUCAUAGACCUGUAUGCAACAAACGUUUGUAAUCUCUAAAAGAUAAGCACACUACUUAUACAUCAGUUGUCAUUAUCUCUAAAAUGGCAAUCAAGAAUCGUGGUGUUAAUAUCGAUGGCAAACGUGAAAUGACCAUGGCGCAGUUCAGGAUUUGGGUCAAAACACUUGAUGCUGAUAAAGAUGGCAAGAUAAGCAAGGAUGAACUCUCUGACGCUGUCCGAGGUAAUGGAGGAUGGUUUGCUGGUUGGAAGGGAAAGAGGGGGGUAAAGGCAGCAGACGCCAAUGGCAACGGUGUUAUUGAUGACAGUGAAAUCGAUAUCCUAGCUGCUUUUGCUCAAAAGCACUUGGGUAUCAUAAUUAUAUAAUCAUGUAACAUGAUUUCGUAGGCCUCCCCAUAUGUUGUCACUCUGUGUCAUUGUGCCUGACUGAUUAAGGAGAAUAUUGGAUACAGCAUACGGAAGCCAGAUCUUAUCAACGCCCUAAAUCUUGGGAGGAGCAUCGAAGCAUUUAUUAUGAUAAUCUGUUUUCAAAAAAGUGAUAUAUAUAUGUAGUGCGCUCCACCGAAUACUUCAAGUCCAAGACAUGGUGUUGAUUAGCGACGGCUAUUUCGAACUCUGAUGCUUUUUUUUUUCCUCACGAAAUUAUCCUAGAAAGAAUCACACAGGCUAUGAUCGGAUUAACUAUCCUCUCUUGCAUCCGUUCUCCUCUUCUGAAUUACUAAAUCGCAGGCUGGCUGCCGCUGGCUAGGUCUAUAACUACAACCAGCAGCAAGCCCUCACUAUGUCUUUCUGGCUCAUUUAUUUUAAUUUUGUCUAUCUUUUCUUUAGAUAUAUUCUCAGUGAACAAUUUCUUCCUUUUCGAAGUGAGACUUCUGUCUUGGUAAAUGGAAGAAUCUUCCUCUCA